rnacentral:lncRNA from 1 species
UAUUAACGUAACAGGAAAAUCAUUCUCCAAUAAGUUCCAUUAAAACCCUACAUUAGAAGUUUAGCUACUCAUACUCAUAGUAACAAUAUCCCAAGUGAUUUGCAUAAAUAAAUUACAAAGUAAAGAUGAAGGAAUGUGGAAAUCGAUGAUUCUAUCUCCCAACGGGUAUUCCACGAGCUAUUCUUGCCCCCGGUUGCAAAACUCCUCCAAAAGUGGCGUUUAAUGUCUAUUUAUAUGUGUAAGAAAAGACAUAAAUUAGUCAAACAAGGAGACGAAAUAUGCCUUCAAAAUCUGGAUCAGGCUUUCCUCAGACCGUGUCUCGCGAGGUAAAAUGCGAGAUGAACCUCGCCCCAGACCAUGCGACGCCUGCCUCCACGCGAGCUCAACCUCGCCUUAUCCCUCGCGUCGCCUGCUCCCACGCGAGCUCAAAGGCUCGCCACGCCAGCUCUAACGCGAGCUCAGUAGCUAGCUUCGCCAGCUUCCUCAUUUUUCCGCUGCUCACUUCUUUCUUCCUUUUUUUCAACUAUUUUCGAGCACGCUUUAGACUUUAAAUAUUUCUUUUGCUCUACUUUCAUCUCCAAUGUACCUACACAUAAAAUAGACUAUAUUAUGCGUAAAUAAACUGUAAUUUAGCAUUAACGCACCUAAAAUGCAAGGUAAAUAAUGUGCUAAAAUAUGGAAUUAUAACCACACAUUAAUCAACCAUACCUUUUCAUCCCACUAUUUUUUUUUUUUUGCAUAAUUUGCAAGAAUUUUUGCUAAACUAUGAGAGCGAAAGAGAAGAGAUAGAAGAAGAAAUACAAGGAGAGAAAAGGGGAGGGAAGCCAAAAUAAGCGAGUAAUUUUUUUGAGAGAGAAUAUAUAAGAGAGUAGUUUUUUUACGAUUUGGCUAUAUAAUGCCAAUUGUUUGAGGCUAUCUUUGCCAAAUCUAAUAUAAGGCUAAAAAAUACCAAUUCCUAUUAUGUGUUGUUAUAGGAUGCUAAUUUUUCUUUAAAGAUACCAUGUUUAACCCUUUUAAUCCCUAGAUACUAAUUCCAAUUGAGAGGAAACAGUGAAGCUAUACGACAAAAACUAACUACUUAAAGCUACAAACAUUCAGAAGUAAAAAGAAUAGCUUUAACCCCAGUGUCAUUAUUAUUUAUCUAACUCAAAGCAACUAAUCAGAUAGUAUCAAGAUAAUGGAUUAACUAAUCAAAAUAACGACCAAACUUCCUCUAAUACUAACAACAACAAAUUUGAAUUUUUAAGUAAACCCAGUUCGAGUUAUGGAAUCAACUUACACAUAGAUAUAAACCUAAUGCAAUAAUCAUUCAACCAAAAUCCAUGAAUCAAACUAGGAAGACAUGAUACAUGUGUAAAAGAACGGAUCUUUAUUGCCGAAUUCGAAUUUUAAAGCUUUGCAACUCAACAAACGGACCAAACACCAGUGACCACGAUCGGAAACCAGUGACAGCAACCUCGAACUCAACUCUCGAACCCCUUUUAGCUUCAGCUGAGGGAACCCAUUUUUUACUGAUUUUUGGUGAUUGUCUUGGGCCGUUUCCGGGGUGUUUUCUGAUGGAAGAACCGCGGCUGUUAUGGGGGUCGUUUUUGGGGCUUCUAGAUGGAAGAUUUUGGUGGCUUAACAUAUGGUUAUGGGGACUAAUUAAUAGUGGAAGAAGGUGGUCGUUUCACGGUGUUAAAUUGCUGGUUAUUUGGUGAGUUUUAUGGCUGAAACUUGGUGCUUGGGAAAGAAGGCUGCUUUAAUAGUAUUUUGGGUGAAGUUUCAUGGAGGAAAAUAGUGUUUGGGAAGAAGGAGGAUUUCUGCUUUUUCUUAAGCUGCUGCGCCUCUUUUCUUUCUAGCUCUCUUGCUAGCUAAAGAUGAAGAUUAUUCCUAGCGUUCCUUUUUCGUUCCUUUCUUUUCCGUAUUUUUAUCUGUCUAGGUCUAGUGGGGUAAAAUAUGAGAAAGAAGUUUUAUAGGUAUAAGUGUAUAUGUGCAGGGAGGUUUUAUGUUGUGCUUCUCGUUUGGUACGAAAAAUAAGGGAUAAUUAAAUUCAGGAUUAAAUUUAAGAUGAACUUAUUUCAUAUUUGGUUGGGAUAAAAUUAUGGUAUAACUAAUGGAAUUAGUUAUCCGAAGAUUGUAAUAUUUUUUUAUCCCUAUAGAAUAACUAAUUUCAGAAUAACUAAUUAUGGAACAAUUUGUUUCCCAAUAAAACGACUCCUUAGCGUAAGGAGAAGGAAACUUUAGGGAGGAAUAUUAUGGAAUAUGCCUAUUGGAUAAAAAGAAAUAAUCAUAGUGGAGCUUCCUAGAAGGUGUAUAGGAAGGAAUAGGAGUGAUUAAGUGGCAUAUUAUUUUUUAAAAAUCCUAUCCUUACUAAAUUAAAAUACCCAAAGUAGGAAUAAUAAUUAGUUAAUUUUAAUCUGAAAUUUAUUAAAGAAUAAUUCGAAAACGCUAACUUACUAAAAUUGAAAGAAGACAAUAUUUUUGGUGAUUUUUUAAUUUUCUCAAACAAAGCUUGUUGAAAUUUUUAUCUUAAGAACUUGAACUNNNNNNNNNNNNNNNNNNNNNNNNNAGUUAGUUAUUAUUAUUACUACGUACUACUACUACUCUCUCUCUCUCUCUCUCUCUCUCUCUCUAUAUAUAUAUAUAUAUAUAUAUAUAUAUAUAUAUAAAAUUUAUUUCUUUUGUAAGAAUAAAAGCUACUACUCUAAAAAUGUAAAUAUCUUUUGUGGUUUUAUAAACUAAACCUACUAAAAAUUAAAAUAAAGGUUAAAAUAUCAGGAGUAAACUUAACAAAUAUUUAAAUAUAAAAAAGGCAUAAAAAUUCUAAAUAUGUUUAAAAAUUAUGUGCUCACAAACAGCUGGUUUGGAUGAUUGUUAAAUAUUGUUCCAUAAUGUAUCAUCUUGUACUGUAUUAUUUUGCAAAUAUAAUGUUGGAUCUAUUACAUGUUUUGAUACCAUUUAGUAACAUCAUUAUUAUUUGAUUUGACUGUAUCAUAUUUUGUCGCAACUGAUAAGUUUAUUAAAAGGAAAACUCAUAAAUAAAAAUAAAAGGCAAAACAAAAAGCAUAAGCUUCAAAAGAAAAUAUUAUGAAAAAAAGUCUUGAUCCCGUAAAACCCCCUCAAUAGUUAGCCCAAAUGACCAUCAGAAGUAUACUUACACAAUACGUGCAGAAGUGUAGCAGAAGUACGUAAAUCAAUGCAUACCCAGUAAGUAUCUAGCCUAACACCGCUGAAGUAAUGAUGUGGGGUCGACAUUAACACUUACUAGUGAUCCAAUGAAUCAAUAUAUUAAAUUAUAAAGCACAACAACAAUAAAGAGGUAAGAACUGUAACUAACAAAAAAUUUCCAACAUUAUGACAAUAUAAAUUUCUCUUAGUGUAGUUAUAUUUUUUUUCUUUUCGUUUUUAGGAACAAACAUAUUUGUAGGUAUAUUCGGCAAGUCGUACACUGCAUUGCGCGUCACCUAGUCCCUAGAGAGCUUGGCCAGGCGGAAAGCCUCGUGUCGCCUGAUGGAAAGCUUGCAUGGGAGCUCGCCUCGCGAGGGAAAAGGCAAGGUGCAUGCCGCGUGGAGCCUCGCAUCGCACGACUAAGAGCUCGCGUUGGAGCUCGCCUCACGAGGGGUAAAGCGAGGCAGCAACCUCGCGUCACCAGGUAAGUGCAUUUUUCGAUUUAUUUUAACUUUUUUCCUUUAUUUCUUUUAACCCCCUCCCUUAAAACCUAACCUAAACGCCCAAAACCUCACUUCUCACAAAAAGCACACAACCUCACUGCUCACGCCAAGAAUACUUCAAACCCCCCCCCCCCCUCACAACCCAAUUGAAGACAAGCACUAUUCUACUCUUUCCUUCACCUGCAAUAGCAAUUCAAGGGCAAUCCCUCCUCUUAAACAUCUAAGGUAUGAUUUCUACCUCCAUUCUUUGGCAAUUUCGAUUUAGGUGAAUGCAUGUCAUUGGAAAAAAAAUGGGUUGUUCUUCAUUGUCACAAUGUGUUUUGUGUCCCAAACCCAUGAACCCCAUAGGAAUGGUGUUGUUAUUGUGUGAACAAGUGGUAGCAUAGAACCCCCAAGCCGAUUUGGGAGGGUGAGGUAAUCCCUCAUCCCUACAAGCACCCCCAUGGCACUAGUGCAUGCUAAGUGUUUGUCAUAAUGCCUCAAAGGCAUUCCUUGUCCCCAUUGGAGCCCGAGUCUCUAGGAUUGUAAGACUAGUGCUAUGUAGCCAUGCACCACUUUAAAAUUUUAAGUGUAGGGUGGCUCACCGAUAGCCCGAUACUUAAAAAUUGGAGGAAGCACCCAUGUGUCAUUGCUUGAUUCUCAUGCUAAGAAAAGAUGAGGCGAAGUCUGAGUAACCUCAAAAAUGGUUGAAAAUCAUAUGUUGAACUCUUAAGUGUGGGGUGGCAAGAUCAUGUUUCGAAAUGUUGCAAUGCAGCUUAAACUGAUUAAUGCUCACUUGUGUAGGUACUAAUAUACCUCCAAGAAAGGACACCGGUAAAGGAAAGGCCACAUCCACUGCUCUGUCUAAGGCUAAGGCUCCCUCCGCACCCCCACUGAAGAAGAGAAAAGGGGGGAAGCUACUUCCAGUUAGGGUGAAGGACUACGAGCAGUUGCAGCUAUUGCAGCCACUCGUCUACAACCUCAGGGCCAACAAGAAUUUGGAAUCAAGAGCAGACCCCCACAUGUGAAGGACUGGUACAAGCAUUGUAGGCCGAGACAUAUACAUCCAGAAUCUGAUAUUCAUGAGCGUCGCCUACAAGCCAAGUACCAAGCAAUUUGGAGAGGUAUUCGUGAUAUGGGGUUGAGCUAUUUGUUCAAAAACUAUGGAGAUAUCAAUGUCAAUCUUGUGAGGGAGUUUUAUGCCGAUUUUCACCCAGAGGAUUCUGAGAAGCUGGUGCCUAUUUAGGGAAGGUUGAUCGAUUUUUCAGCCUCGGCGAUAUGCAAUUUCUUAGGUGCAUUGGAUGUUCCCCAGGGACCCUUGGACAAUUUCAUCAUCUUUCCUACUUAUCAAGAGCUAAGACACACUCUUUGUGGGAUCAACUCUGUGGCGACUUGGGUGCGGGAUAAGAAAACUAAUCGCCAUAGGGAAUUCCCAAAGAAGAAUAUGAAGGCAGAAGCGCAAGUAUGGUUGAAAUUGAUUAAUACACGGCUCAUACCCGUGAAAGGACUUGCGUGUUAUAUUUAUUAAUAAUGGGACAAAGGGUGAAUGUGGGCCACUUGAUCCGUUACCAGAUGACCCAAGUGCGAACUAGCAAGAAAAUUGAUCGAAUGCCCUUUUGCAAACAUGUUAACACAAUACUUGCGACAAAAGGAGGUGGAGGAGGAGAAAGUGUUCGAUCACAUCAUUGAUCCAUCCCUAAGACGAACGGACCCCACAAAUGUCCGGGCUAAGGAGGAGAAUACCACAACUUCACUGACAGAGGCUGAGUGCAAUGCGCGCGAUGGUAGCUUUAUCACCUAUUUAUAUGGGAUGAUGGACUUGCAGCUUCGGAUUGGGGGACGGUCGGCCACUACGGAGGAGAGGGCCAUAUUAGAGGUGCGAUUCCCACUAAAUGCUCAUGCUUAGCAGUUGGUUGGGCUAGGUAAUGGAUACAGACACUCAGAUGAUGAGGAUGUCAACACACCGGAGCAAUCCGAGGCCGAGCCGGAUCAGUCAGAUGAGGAGGAGGAGGAAGCACAAGAUGAGGAGUGGGCAGCCUCAGAAGAGGAAGGCGAUGACGCAGCUUGAUCAGGGAGUUUUCAUACACCCUACUCUCCUUUUUCUUGUUGUAUCAUCUGGUGUAUGCACUGAGGACAUUGCAUAAAAUAAGUGAGGGGUGGUAAAUUGUAUAUAUUAGUUUUGUUUUAGUUAUUUUUUUAGUUAGUUCCAUCUUAGCCUUUUAGAAAAAAAAAUUAGUGUUGGCUUAGCCUUGUAAAAAAAAAGAAGUAGAAAAAUUGGACUCUUCCCGAAGAUGGAUCUCCUAGACAGUUUUCUUGAGAGAACUAAGUCUAAAGAGAAAAAAACCAAAAAUAUUUUCUUGUAGGUAGUGUAGUAAUUCCCCCUUGGUUUUUCUUUGUGCCGUGAUUCUUUUCCAGGGGUUUUAGUUGAACUGGGUGUAGUUAGUUUUAAUUUAGGAGUAGAAACCAAUGGGCUAUGAAUUGAAUUGCAGCGAUAUCUCUUGACUUUGAUAUGCCUUGAGAAUACUGAGUACUCUGGUUGUGAUGCUUAGGCUCAAUGUUUGACACUAGUAUAAGUACCUUAAAUUUGCUUAACUGCUUUGACUGGAGUGUCGUGAUAAAACCAAUCCUAAGUGAGUUAGGUGUCAUGUCUGUGUGAGGUUUGUAUGUAUUCUAUGCAUUGCAGUUGAUGUCUAGAAAUUGUCCCUUGUGUGUGCAAAGAGAAAUAGUAGUCUUGUUCAGUCUGGAAAGUGAUAUAGGCAUUUCUUUGUUGAGCCAGAUAUAUAUAGAGCUUACCCGCCUAAAUGUCUUAUAACGUAGUUAACCCCUUUGAGCUUAUAAUCAUGUUUCUUUGGCAGCCACAUUACAAGCCUUAUCCCUUUGUUUGAAUUGACCAUAUAUUUGAACCUUGUCACCUCUCAUGAGCACUUGAAUUGUGAUGAUUUAUGUAAAUAUAAAAGGGUGGGGUGGUGGUUUGGCUUUUGAGUAGAACUAAUGAAAUAAGGAGAAAGGUGCACCGUUUUUUAAAAAAAAAAGAAAAAUAUAUCAAUAAAAGCCACUUGGAUUGAAGAAAAAAAUAAUAUAUAUAGUUGUAUUGUAUGAAAAAUAAUUCUUGAUGGUGGUGGCUAGUGAUAUAUUUGUGCUUAAUGAAGUAUGGGGUAAUAUACAUUGAUGUGAAGGUGGAGUUUAUGUUGACAUAAGUAUGGGCUUGAGUGUUAAAGUAUAUGUAUUAAAGUGCUUAAGGGAGGUGUAGUCACUCAUAUCCAAAUGUAUCCUACCCGACCCGUAGCCUACAUUACAACCAAUUAAAGUCCUAUUUGAUCUUAGACUAAAUGAGCUCGAUAAGUAUAGUAUUACACUAGGGGAAAGCCUAUGGUGCAUCAUUUGUGGAAUAUGAAUGUUAUUUCUGAGAACGAGUGAAUUCUUCAUAUCUUGAGUUCCUACGAUCUUAAAAUUUAUUGUGUGUGGAACUAAUCUCUUUUGUUGUGUUAGAACACAUGAUUCAUGAUGGAGAGGUAAUGUUGUUGAGCUCCAUGUUAGAGUAAGUAAGUGAACUGUGAAUAAUGCAUGGUAUUUGUGAGUCAAAUCUUGAGGUGGGGAUGUUACACCUUUGUGCUUAGUAUAUUUUAAAGAUUCUUGGUGUGAGGAGUUAAGGGAAUUUCUUAAAAAAGGUCGUGUCUAUAAGUGUAGCUUGAUUGCUCGAGGAUGAGCCACGUUUAAGUGUGGGGUAUUAAUGUGUGGCUGUAAUUCCAUAUUUUAGCACAUUAUGUACCUUGCAUUUUAGGUGCGUUAAUGCUAAACUAUACUUUAUUUGCGCGUAAUGGAAUCUAUUUUAUGUGUAGGUACAUUGGAGAUGAAAGUAGAGCAAAAGAAAUAUUUAAAGUCUAAAGCGUGCUCGAAAACAGUUGAAAAACAAAAGAAAGAAGUGAGCAGCAGAAAAAUGAGGAAGUUGUUAGAGCUGGCGAGGCGAGCUUUUGAGCUCGCGUGGGAGCAAGCAACACGAGGGAUAAGGUGAGGUUGAGUUAACGUGGAGGCAGGCGUCGCAUGGUUUGGGGCGAGGUUCAUCUCGCAUUUUACCU